GAUGAACGCUGGCGGCGUGCCUAAUACAUGCAAGUCGAGCGAACGGACGAGAAGCUUGCUUCUCUGAUGUUAGCGGCGGACGGGUGAGUAACACGUGGAUAACCUACCUAUAAGACUGGGAUAACUUCGGGAAACCGGAGCUAAUACCGGAUAAUAUUUUGAACCGCAUGGUUCAAAAGUGAAAGACGGUCUUGCUGUCACUUAUAGAUGGAUCCGCGCUGCAUUAGCUAGUUGGUAAGGUAACGGCUUACCACGGCAACGAUGCAUAGCCGACCUGAGAGGGUGAUCGGCCACACUGGAACUGAGACACGGUCCAGACUCCUACGGGAGGCAGCAGUAGGGAAUCUUCCGCAAUGGGCGAAAGCCUGACGGAGCAACGCCGCGUGAGUGAUGAAGGUCUUCGGAUCGUAAAACUCUGUUAUUAGGGAAGAACAGAUGUGUAAGUAACUGUGCACAUCUUGACGGUACCUAAUCAGAAAGCCACGGCUAACUACGUG
rnacentral:rRNA from 1 species